UAUCGGCUUAACCUAAGCUGGUUCAAAGCAGGGAUCCCCUUCACGACGACCUCACGUCACCACCAUCAUUUGAAAAACGACAUAACCCUAGCCGCCAUCGCCGGAGGUUGUGUUUCACCUUCACCGGAACCGAGAACCCUGACUCCGUCGCUUGACUCCGCCAUCACUCGACUAAGUGAUUCCUCAUGUCCGCCUCCUAUUCGACGUUCCGUUGCACCAAAGCCACCGUCUGCCGCCGACUAUUGCUUCCGUUUCACCGACAUCUACCUCCGACAACAGUCAAUCUUACUGACAUUCAUCAAUUACAGGCGUAUGAAAAAUUAAACAUUCUAGGACUAAUGACAUCACGAGCGAUAGGGAGAAGACUCCAUCAUGGAGAUGUCGGCGGUAAAGAAAACAUGAGCAUUUAAUAGGUGCAGAUUUGGAUGAACUACAUGAACCUUUACUUGGGAAUAAGGAUGACAACAAGCCUAACCGGUUAAAGGUACAAACGUAUGAAGAUGUUUUGUAUGAUGAAAAAGGAAAAGAAAUCCUCCACUAGGCAUUUCUAUUCUCUAAUAUAAUUUUAGAAUGGGCACAAUGGUUAGCAAGAAUUAUAAUAGGAUCCGGAACAUUUAUUGCACAGAUUUUGACUUUGCCUUCAACAUUUGGAAGUGGACCAACAAAGAAGUUUCUUCCACCGUUACUUACUCCAUUACAGGAUGCAAAGUUGUCCCUGGUGGCUGUUUGGUGUUCUUCCCCGGUUAUGUUGUUGAUAAAAUUGUCUUAGCAGGCCCACCACUUGUGAAGGCUGAUACUACUGGUAAAGAAGUAUCCUUUGAAGAUCUUGGAGGUGCAAAUGUCCAUAAUUAGGUGUUUUAGACUUUCUUGCUCAUGGUAGAGAAAAUGUCCAUAAAUAGCAACUUACUUUACUCUCACUACCAAUAUUGUCAACAUACUUUACUGUUUAAUGAUAAUCCAUGUUCUUAUAAUAAUUAGAAAUUUAGCAUCCUCAUCAAUCUCUCAAUGUCUCAAUGCUACUGUAAUACUGAUUACAAAGGUGUGUGCCACGUUACAAGGUCAUUGUAGGCCUGGAGGGGUACACACAAAUUAAUUAAAUUCAAUUUUAUAUAAGUAAUUAGACAUGUUAUAUUAGUUAACUUUGUUCAUGGUUUGUAUUCAGGUCUUACUUGGUACCGAUUCCCACACGUGUACUGCUGGAGCAUUUGGCCAGUUUGCUACCGGAAUUGGAAACACUGAUGCCGGAUUUGUGUUAGGAACCGGAAAGCUAUUGCUUAAGGUGCCUCCAACCUUAAGAUUCGUAUUGGAUCGAGAAAUGCAAGAUUAUCUUCUUGCAAACAAUUUGAUUUUACAAGGAACUUCCCUAACGAGGGUUUCCGGGCCAGCUUUCGCGCACCGACUAAUCCCCCGCUGCAGACAUGAGGCUUUGCCUCAUGCCCUGGAGUCACUGCAGGCGAACCUCCAUGGCCACAAGGGAUUAGUAUCGAAAGUCUAACAGCGUUUGGAAAAAGAUUGGCUUGUUUUGUGUCAUCUAAUUUUGGCAGAGGAACUGAAGCUUAUAUUAUUUAUGUUUAAAAAAGUUUAUGUUUGGCAUUUCUGAGUGUUGUGUUUUUCUAUUACAUUUUUGCCCAAUUAAUAUAAAAGAAUGUAUUUUUAUGUAAUUAUUAUUUUUGAUGGCUUAAUGGAUGUUGAAUAUUGAAAAUUA